GGAGGGGUGGCCGAGUGGUUAAGGCAAGGUCCUGCUAAGACCUGCCCGGUUAAAAGCUGGGCCGUGGGUUCGAAUCCCACCCCCUCCG
rnacentral:tRNA from 1 species